rnacentral:lncRNA from 1 species
CUCCGAAAAUUGAAGGAGGUUACUGUAGAUGUAAAUAUGCCAUGAAAAGUGAAGUAUCAGUUGAAAAGCUUAAGCGUACAAACGGGAAAGCUGGACCUGUGAUUGAGGUGUCAUCUGGCAAACGAGGUUGAAAUUGAACAAAUGAUGAUGUAUUGAAGAGAUGAAUUAUUACUAAACACUGCCAUUCUAAUUAAGUUUCAUGAAAAGGUGGGUGAAUGGACGUGAUAACGUCAGAACGAAACGUAAACACAAAAAAGUUCACAAAGCGAUAGGUCGCUAAGAUCGAUACUAUCGUCAACUUUAUGAGCUUUUUUGCAAGGUUGUCAUAGACUAAAGAAAUGUAAAAAAGCGCAAUUAAAAUUAAGCAAACCUAUACUUUGAUUGUUAACAUAUGUGGCAACGUCGAUUUUAUGCCAAAGUACCGCGGUAAAAAUAUUCAAGGUCAAGCUUAAUUCCAAGCAGAAAUAUUCGUGAAAAGCCUUUAAAAAAAUCUAAAUCUUAUUUUAAAAGACUUAAAAAUACAUUGAUUUAUUCCACGAAAUUAAAGGAAAAUUUAUUUGGAUGCUUUUAUAAUUGAUUGUACGUAUGAUGGAAAAUAAAGCGUGACAGAAUAGCUUUGGACUCAAGCAGUGUUUAUUUAUUCCGCUCCAUGCCUCAUCUCGUUAACCUAAAAUUUUCGGAAGUUGAAAUUUUGGGAACUUUUCAGCGUGCCGAGAAUAGCUUCGCCUACGGGAAGCGUGAUUUGCAUUCAUCCUGACUCAUACGCUUAAUAUUUUGUGGUGUUUAAUGCUGAUUUGAAAUAAUGAGUGAUAACGAGAGCAACCGAAGUUAUGGACGUGAAGAUGAAGAGGAGAAAAGAAUAGUAAGGGAAGACUCACCCCCUCCGCAUAAAAGCCGCACUCCUAGCUCUGCCUACUCUAAGUCAAAAUCCCCUUCUCCUCAUAUCAAUAGUUCCAGAAGAUCUUACGGGCGUAGCAUGUCUCGCUCUCGUUCACGCUCCAUCUCUCGCUCUCGGUCACGUUCCUAUGGACGAGACUCCAGGUCACAUUCAAGAAGCCCAAGGCACUCACGACGCAGGAGAAGGAGUCCAGAUCGCGGUUACAAAAGACGUUACAUGGGAAGCAGAGAUCGUCCAAAACCUAACCGGUGCCUUGGUGUGUUUGGUUUGAGUAUCCAUACUACUGAAGAUCAAUUUAUGAUAUUUUCUCUAAGUAUGGCUCCCUUGAGCGUGUCCAGGUCAUCGUGGAUGCUCAGACUCGGCGUUCACGUGGAUUCUGUUUUGUGUAUUUUAAAAACUAUGAGGAUGCAAAAGCCGCAAAAGAGGAAUGCUCUGAUAUGGAUGUUGACGGACGUCGUAUUCGUGUAG